rnacentral:snoRNA from 1 species
GGGCCUGAUGAUGAGAAUAUACAAGUUAUCUCACAACGGUCUUCUGAGAACCGUUUUGAUGACACAAAUAUUCUCUGAAGCCC